GACGAACGCUGGCGGCGUGCUUAACACAUGCAAGUCGAACGGAAAGGCCCUGCUUGCAGGGUACUCGAGUGGCGAACGGGUGAGUAACACGUGGGAGAUCUGCCCUGCACUUCGGGAUAAGCCUGGGAAACUGGGUCUAAUACCGGAUAGGAGCCAUUUUUAGUGUGAUGUUUGGAAAGUUUUUUCGGUGUAGGAUGAGCUCGCGGCCUAUCAGCUUGUUGGUGGGGUAAUGGCCUACCAAGGCGGCGACGGGUAGCCGGCCUGAGAGGGUGGACGGCCACAUUGGGACUGAGAUACGGCCCAGAAUCCUACGGGAGGCAGCAGUGGGGAAUAUUGCACAAUGGGCGCAAGCCUGAUGCAGCGACGACGCGUGGAGGAUGACGGACUUCGGGUUGUAAACUCCUUUCGAUAGGGACGAAGCUUUUUGUGACGGUACCUAGAGAAGAAGCACCGGCUAACUACGUG
rnacentral:rRNA from 1 species